GUGAGGGCCCUCUGGGUCCAACCUCCCACCCGUGUUUAUUUUACCUUGUUGCUUCGGCGGGCCCGCCUUAACUGGCCGCCGGGGGGCUUACGCCCCCGGGCCCGCGCCCGCCGAAGACACCCUCGAACUCUGUCUGAAGAUUGUAGUCUGAGUGAAAAUAUAAAUUAUUUAAAACUUUCAACAACGGAUCUCUUGGUUCCGGCAUCGAUGAAGAACGCAGCGAAAUGCGAUACGUAAUGUGAAUUGCAAAUUCAGUGAAUCAUCGAGUCUUUGAACGCACAUUGCGCCCCCUGGUAUUCCGGGGGGCAUGCCUGUCCGAGCGUCAUUUCUGCCCUCAAGCACGGCUUGUGUGUUGGGCCCCGUCCUCCGAUCCCGGGGGACGGGCCCGAAAGGCAGCGGCGGCACCGCGUCCGGUCCUCGAGCGUAUGGGGCUUUGUCACCCGCUCUGUAGGCCCGGCCGGCGCUUGCCGAUCAACCCAAAUUUUUAUCCAGGUUGACCUCGGAUCAGGUAGGGAUACCCGCUGAACUUAAGCAUAUCAA
rnacentral:rRNA from 1 species